UACGUAGGUGUCGAGCGUUGUCCGGAUUUAUUGGGCGUAAAGAGCCCGCAGGCGGCUUGGCAAGUUUGAGGUGAAAUCUCCCGGCUUAACUGGGAGGGGGCCUCGAAAACUGCCAGGCUUGAGGCAUGGAGAGGGGUGCGGAAUUCCCGGUGUAGUGGUGAAAUGCGUAGAUAUCCGGAGGAACACCGGUGGCGAAGGCGGCUUCCUGGACCGACACUGACGCUGAGGCGCGAAAGCUAGGGGAGCAAACGGG
rnacentral:rRNA from 1 species